rnacentral:rRNA from 1 species
GACGGAGGGUGCAAGCGUUGCUCGGAAUCAUUGGGCGUAAAGGGCGCGUAGGCGGCCUGCUAAGUCGAACGUGAAAUCCCUGGGCUCAACCCAGGAACUGCGUCCGAUACUGGUUGGCUUGAAUCCGGGAGAGGGACGUGGAAUUCCAGGUGUAGCGGUGAAAUGCGUAGAUAUCUGGAGGAACACCAAUGGCGAAGGCAGCUCUCUGGGACGGUACUGACGCUGAGACGCGAAAGCGUGGGGAGCGAACAGG